rnacentral:rRNA from 1 species
GAUGAACGCUGGCGGCGUGCCUAAUACAUGCAAGUCGAGCGGACGGACGAGAAGCUUGCUGCUCUGAUGUUAGCGGCGCACGGGUGAGUAACGCGUGGAUACCCUACCUAUAAGACUGGGAUAACUUCGGGAAACCGGCGCUAAUACCGUAUAAUAUUUUGCACCGCAUUGUUCAAAGGUGAAAGACGGUCUUGCUGUCACUUAUAGCUGGAUCCGCGCUGCAUUAGCUAGUUGGUAAGGUAACGGCUUACGAAGGCGACGAUGCAUAGCCGACCUGAGAGGGUGGUCGGCGGCACGAGAGCUGGGACGCGGACAAGACGACUGCGAGAGGCAGCAGUAGGGAACCGUCCGCAAUGGGCGGAAGCAUGACGGAGCAGCGCGGCGUGAGUGAUGAAGGUGUUCGGAUCGUAAUACUCUGUUAUUGGGGAAGAACAUAUGUGUAAGUAACUGUGGAGAUAUUGACGGUACCUGAUCAGAAAGCCACGGCUAACUACGUG